CAGCCGCCGCGGGAAUACAGAGGGUGCAAGCGUUAAUCGGAAUUACUGGGCGUAAAGCGAGCGUAGGUGGCUUGAUAAGUCAGAUGUGAAAUCCCCGGGCUUAACUUGGGAACUGCAUCUGAUACUGUUAGGCUAGAAUAGGUGAGAGGAAGGUAGAAUUCCAGGUGUAGCGGUGAAAUGCGUAGAGAUCUGGAGGAAUACCGAUGGCGAAGGCAGCCUUCUGGGACAACACUGACGCUCAUGCACGAAAGCGUGGGGAGCAAACAGGAUUAGAUACCCCAGUAGUCCCUGUCUCUUAUAA
rnacentral:rRNA from 1 species